GAUGAACGCUGGCGGCGUGCCUAAUACAUGCAAGUCGAGCGAACAGACGGGGAGCUUGCUCCUCUGACGUUAGCGGCGGACGGGUGAGUAACACGUGGAUAACCUACCUAUAAGACUGGGAUAACUUCGGGAAACCGGAGCUAAUACCGGAUAAUAUAUUGAACCGCGUGGUUCAAUAGUGAAAGACGGUUUUGCUGUCACUUAUAGAUGGAUCCGCGCCGCAUUAGCUAGUUGGUAAGGUAACGGCUUACCAAGGCAACGAUGCGUAGCCGACCUGAGAGGGUGAUCGGCCACACUGGAACUGAGACACGGUCCAGACUCCUACGGGAGGCAGCAGUAGGGAAUCUUCCGCAAUGGGCGAAAGCCUGACGGAGCAACGCCGCGUGAGUGAUGAAGGUCUUCGGAUCGUAAAACUCUGUUAUUAGGGAAGAACAAAUGUGUAAGUAACUAUGCACGUCUUGACGGUACCUAAUCAGAAAGCCACGGCUAACUACGUG
rnacentral:rRNA from 1 species